rnacentral:rRNA from 1 species
AUAUGUUCUUCGUGAACAUGGCGUACUGCUCAGUAACACGUGGAUAACCUGCCCUUGGGUCCGGCAUAACCCCGGGAAACUGGGGAUAAUUCCGGAUAACGCAUAUAUGCUGGAAUGCUUUAUGCGUCAAAUGGAUUCGUCUGCCCAAGGAUGGGUCUGCGGCCUAUCAAGUAGUAGUGGGUGUAAUGUACCUACUAGCCGACGACGGGUACGGGUUGUGAGAGCAAGAGCCCGGAGAUGGAUUCUGAGACAUGAAUCCAGGCCCUACGGGGCGCAGCAGGCGCGAAAACUUUACAAUGCGGGAAACCGUGAUAAGGGGACACCGAGUGCCAGCAUCAUAUGCUGGCUGUCCGGGUGUGUAAAAUACACCCGUUAGCAAGGGCCGGGCAAGACCGGUGCCAGCCGCCGCGGUAACACCGGCGGCCCGAGUGGUGAUCGUGAUUAUUGGGUCUAAAGGGUCCGUAGCCGGUUUGGUCAGUCCUCCGGGAAAUCUGACGGCUUAACCGUUAGGCUUUCGGAGGAUACUGCCAGGCUUGGAACCGGGAGAGGUAAGAGGUACUACAGGGGGUAGGAGUGAAAUCUUGUAAUCCCUGUGGGAC